GACGAACGCUGGCGGCGUGCCUAAUACAUGCAAGUUGAGCGCUGAAGGUUGGUACUUGUACCAACUGGAUGAGCAGCGAACGGGUGAGUAACGCGUGGGGAAUCUGCCUUUGAGCGGGGGACAACAUUUGGAAACGAAUGCUAAUACCGCAUAAAAACUUUAAACACAAGUUUGAAGGUUGAAAGAUGCAAUUGCAUCACUCAAAGAUGAUCCCGCGUUGUAUUAGCUAGUUGGUGAGGUAAAGGCUCACCAAGGCGAUGAUACAUAGCCGACCUGAGAGGGUGAUCGGCCACAUUGGGACUGAGACACGGCCCAAACUCCUGCGGGAGGCAGCAGUAGGGCAUCUUCGGCAAUAGGCGAAAGUCUGACCGAGCAACGCCGCGUGAGUGAAGAAGGUUUUCGGAUCGUAAAACUCUGUUGGUAGAGAAGAACGUUGGUGAGAGUGGAAAGCUCAUCAAGUGACGGUAACUACCCAGAAAGGGACGGCUAACUACGUG
rnacentral:rRNA from 1 species